CUAGGAAUAGUGGGGACACCGGGAAUACCGGGCACACACCGGGAAAACCGGGCACCACGUCCAGUCCCUCCAGCCCCGGCCUCCCGCGGGCACCAGGCGCUGUAGCGUUUUGCAGGUGUCCCUCCCACGGCCCGCUCCCGGGACAGCCCUGCUGCAGGAGUGACCUUGUCCCACACACCUGGGGUCCGCGGGACCGCUCGUGUCCGUGUGUCGGGAGCGCCGCGAACCCGCCCUGUCCCUGCGCGUCCCAGGGCACCUCCACAGGGUCGGCGUGGGAACAGUCCCGCUCUGCACCUGCAGCUGAACGUUUGCAUUAUCUACAAACCCCACCGAGCUGCAUCUCCAAGUGUUCUGGUUUCCUGGAGCACUGUUCCCGCUGGGGUUCCACCCCUGUGCUCACCAGGGGCGCUGCCAGGGCAGCCCUGGAGAACCGGGCGCUGCCGUCCAGCAGCACAGCCAAGCACCUGCGUCCAUCCCAGUCCUCCCCUCAGUUUGCCAGCUGAAUCCCCGCGGUCUCCGGGGGUUGGAGUGUCAGGGAUAGCAGUGCCCACCCAGAUACCUGACAGAGGCGCCAGCCCAGCCCCUGAUGCUGGCCGGGAAUCCUGGAGUGGAACAGCGGGAGCCCUGCAGCUCCAGGACAGGGACCGGUCUGAAAUGCUGUCCCGAGGGAAGAGGGCCCGCAGCAGCAGAGCCCACUCCAGCCCCUGGUGCUGCUUCUCCGGCAGGAGGAUGGACUGCACUGCUGAGGUCACUCACACACUGCAGAGGAGUUUGGAACUACAGGCUGAGGUAUGCAGGGAGCCUGGUCAAUGCCUGCUGGCAAGAUGACUUUAAAUCUUACAUGUCUUCUAAACAGCAAUAUAAUACUGAACAGAAACACUUCCUCUUACAGGCAAAAUUAAUGCUCUUUUCCUAGUGUACAAUCUGUUUAGCUAACAAACCUGUUCCAGCUUUAGUAAACUGACGAUCUAUUCCCCCAUUAAAAACAGCAACAUUUACCAUUUACUAACAAAUAGAACUAUUCAAAAGUGUAAA